AGCAAUUUGGCGCAGUGGAAGCGCGGUAUGUCUCACACUCAUAACCCGGAGGUCGCCUGAUCGAAACGGGCAAUUGCUA
rnacentral:tRNA from 1 species